GCUGGGUUUCGGUCAGCUUUCAACAAAUACUUCGGAGUGUUGCCAGGAACUUUCAGCUACAGAGCAUGUAUGAUGGCUGCCAAGGUGAAGGACUGUGACCUGCUGUGUAUCGGGAAGUGGACCAAUCUGAAGUAUCUGCAACUGACAGGGGUACCAGGUAUUCACCAGGGUCAGUGUUUGGUUGCUAUAGCGAAGGGUUGCGUCCACCUGGAGAGGAUGUACAUAGCUCACCUGGGCAUGUCGGGGAACUGUCAAUAAAUCCGCUCACUCUGUGAAGCCUUCAACCACUUCCAGAAACUCAGGGACCUGAGACUUGAGCAGCCGUACCUGAAGCUGGAUAGCGUCUUCUUCUCAGCCUGCUCCAACUGUUCCACGUUUGAGAGACUUUGUAUUCUGUCCAAAAACGCUACCUUCAUAGAUGCUGCUGCAGUAAACAAGUUUGUUGACAAGCUGCAGUCCCUGGUGUCGUUACAGCUGUUUACAUGUGCAACUCUCACCAGCUGUAAACACCUGCAGACUUCACUGAUGCGCAGAUUUGAAAAAUCCAGACCAGCUUUAUCAGUGUGCAUACACCCCUUGGUUCAUGAUGAACUCUCCGAGCUGACUACCCAUAUCCCUGUGAAACACCUGGAAGAGCUCACUGUGCUAGGAUCAGGGGUGUGUCUUAAACCGCCACGGUGGCCAUGGUAACAGCCAAUGGAUGAAAACCUUAACAGCCAUGACCAAUGAGAUUUCAGACUGUGAUAUGCUCAUGUAUUCCACUGACUCUAUUUUUGCAAUGUCUGUCCUCUAGUGCUUCCUCUUGAGUGAAGAGCUGAAAUGUAUGGAUGCUAGUAUUACAAUCAAAAUGUGGCCUGUGUAUUUGGGGAUUGCUCAGUUAUGAGAUAGGGGGCAAGGGAAGGUGGAGAAUUCACCCAACAUCACAUGGGA